rnacentral:lncRNA from 1 species
AUGAGCCGGCGCCGCGGGAAUGGUUGCGCUCUUUGGAAUCUGGAUUGCUACACAAGACACGGCUUCACCUUGAAACCGGGCGGCAAUGGCUACCCGGUGUCCGACCCCAGCCCCGCACUCGGGUGCCACCACGUGUCCGAUGACCGGCACUGCAGCUCCAGAUCCGUAACUUACCCGCGCGCGGAGGCUCGGGACGCGCAGCUGCAAACGCAGAGCUACGGUGACCGCGGAACCACCUCGAGCUCAGGCGGCGAGACGGUGCAAGUUCCUGGGUCCCCAGGACCCCGAGAAGAGCUGAGCAGCCCGGAGUGGUCUCCAGGAGCAGAGAAUCCGCGUGCUGCGAGCGGAAGCCGAGUCUUCCGAGCCUUGCACUGUGGCAGUACCGUUUUCAGUUCCUUGAUCCGCCCGCCGCCAUCUCAAGCUUGGAGCAGCCUCGCGUUAGCCCCGGGCCCUUCUCGGAGUAUUUGGAAAAAAAUCCCGCUAGGGGACAUUUAUGAGUCUUCUUCCAUGAGUUUGAGAAAGACUAAGUUUUCACAGGAAGAAACACGGUUCAUCCAUGGCAGCAUCUGGGAUUUAUCUUUUCCUUUUCUUUAUAGAAAAAAUAUUUCUUGACUCUUUGCUGAGCCGAACACCAGCCAAAUUUACUUGGUAUAAUUUUAAAAGCGCAGCAUUCCAAUUGAAAGAGCCAUUUAAAUACUAGUCUUCUGACAAGUGACUGCACUCCCACGUGAACUGAUCGGCCCACUGGAGAAUUAAAACAAGGAACAGCAGGCUCUUCAGAUGUAAUCCUGUGUUUCAGAAAUGUUCUGCCAGUUCUGGAAUGUAAAUAAAUAGAUAAAGAAAUAAGUACA